GACGAACGCUGGCGGCGUGCUUAACACAUGCAAGUCGAACGGAAAGGCCCUGCUUUUGUGGGGUGCUCGAGUGGCGAACGGGUGAGUAACACGUGAGUAACCUGCCCUUGACUUUGGGAUAACUUCAGGAAACUGGGGCUAAUACCGGAUAGGAGCUCCUGCUGCAUGGUGGGGGUUGGAAAGUUUCGGCGGUUGGGGAUGGACUCGCGGCUUAUCAGCUUGUUGGUGGGGUAGUGGCUUACCAAGGGUUUGACGGGUAGCCGGCGUGAGAGGGUGAUCGGCCACACUGGAACUGAGACACGGUCCAGAGUCCUACGGGAGGCAGCAGUAGGGAAUAGUGCGCAAUGGGCGAAAGACUGACGGAGCAACGCCGCGUGAGUGAUGAAGGUCUUCGGAUCGUAAAACUCUGUUAUUAGGGAAGAACAUAUGUGUAAGUAACUGUGCACAUCUUGACGGUACAUAAUCAGAAAGCCACGGCUAACUACGUG
rnacentral:rRNA from 1 species